GACGAACGCUGGCGGCGUGCUUAACACAUGCAAGUCGAACGGAAAGGCCCUGCUUUUGUGGGGUGCUCGAGUGGCGAACGGGUGAGUAACACGUGAGUAACCUGCCCUUGACUUUGGGAUAACUUCAGGAAACUGGGGCUAAUACCGGAUAGGAGCUCCUGCUGCAUGGUGGGGGUUGGAAAGUUUCGGCAGUUGGGGAUGGACUCGCGGCUUAUCAGCUUGUUGGUGGGGUAGUGGCUUACCAAGGCUUUGACGGGUAGCCGGCCUGAGAGGGUGACCGGCCACAUUGGGACUGAGAUACGGCCCAGACUCCUACGGGAGGCAGCAGUGGGGAAUAUUGCACAAUGGGCGGAAGCCUGAUGCAGCAACGCCGCGUGCGGGAUGACGGCCUUCGGGUUGUAAACCGCAUUCGCCUGUGACGAAGCGUGAGUGACGGUAAUGGGUAAAGAAGCACCGGCUAACUACGUG
rnacentral:rRNA from 1 species